UUAUGUCCUGUCUCUCUAUCAGCUCGGUGUUCUAGUUCUUGUCCAGCCUGUCUUGGAUCGUUCCGCAAUCCUCGGAUUCCUGCACUGGAUCGGAGAUCCCUCACUGUCACUAGAGCAUGCUGUCUGAUGUCCGCUGAGGCUCAUGAUUGCGGUCUUUUCCAGCUGUUCUCUCUGCAUUGUAACCCCAAAAUCGGAGGGGGCUAAAAGGAAAGGGAUGUUGUUCCAGGAAUAUGUUCUACUUGUGCAAAUCACAUUAAGCCCAAAGCACACCCGGAACACAUCUGCACAUGGCUUGGCCAAAAUAUGUUUUCUUUCUUCACCUACUUCAUGAGCACACCAACAAACUUCCAAUUGAAGAAAGAGAGGCAGAAGAACACCAUCAAUAAAUCUAAAGACAGCUGAUACUGAAAUGUUUCAGAGAUGCC